UAGCCUUUCACCAUCGCCCCUUGUAGGAGCAGUGAUCCCUGUCACAAACGCUGGUGCCGCGGAUUGACCUCAGCAGCUGAUGCUGCGGACGAGCGUAGCCC
rnacentral:lncRNA from 1 species